CUCUCUCUCUCUCUGACGCAAUCUUCUUUCUCCCUCAGCAGUGGCUAUUCAUCCAAGCUUAACUCCACGGUUCACAUCCACGAGGCCACAAUUAAGUAAGAGAAAAUCCAUUAUUUGUGCGCAGUCAUACCCAAUUCCUUUUCUAUCUCUCUGCCUCCUCUGGCUCUGUUUCAGAAACCUGGACAAUCCAUCCUGACGCUGCAUGUGUGAUGAACUGCUUGUCGUUGUCGCACUUUUCACGCAACCACCAUUUUCAGAACGAAGGGUCGUUUCGUGGAAAAGAAAAUUGGACCUUUCGUGUGGGGUUAAGUGCAUCAACUUAGAAUCAACGAGAUUCCAUAUUCAGCUCUGCUGAUCUCGAAGCAAAGCCAGCAGCAGCAUCAGCAGGAAGACGACAUAGUCUCGUUCACGGAGGAAGUCAGAAGCUGAACCGGUUGUGGAGCUGGCAAAAGAUGCCUUCUAUGUAGUGCGCAAAGGAGAUAUUGUUGGUGUUUAUAAGAGUUUCGGCGAUUGUCAGGCUCAGCUUAGUUCUUCGAUAAUUUUACAUUUUUCUAUUUCUGGGUUGAAUGGGUUUAAUGUGCUUGAACUUCACUUCACUUCACUCUUUCUUUUUUAUUUGGAAUUGUGGCAGAUAUUUGAUCCUCCUGUUAGUGUGUACAAAGGGUACUCUUUGCCUGAGGACACGGAAGAAUAUUCAUGUGGACUUACGAAUGCCAUUUACAUAAUCGCUGCUGCAGAUUUGAAGGACGAUAUUUUCGGCAAGCUUAUGCAUUGCCCUUUUCAAGAUCCAGGAUCUUUGCAAGGUGAAGCAUCUGUCACGGAUGCACUCAAAAAGAGAUCCCAUGAAGUGCCAGCAUCAGAUAAUUUUGAUGAUCCAUUGAGAAAGCAUGUCAAGAUAGAUCAUUCCACUCAAUCAUUACCCUUAGAUUCUCUCUCUCUGUCUCUAUUGCUCAGCUCUCACUCUUUGUUCGAUCAGCUCUCACAC